CUACAGAGGGUGCGAGCGUUAAUCGGAAUUACUGGGCGUAAAGCGCGCGUAGGCGGUUAUUUAAGUCAGAUGUGAAAUCCCUGGGCUCAACCUAGGAACUGCAUCUGAAACUGGGUAACUAGAGUUUAGGAGAGGGGAGUAGAAUUUCGGGUGUAGCGGUGAAAUGCAUAGAGAUCCGAAGGAAUACCAGUGGCGAAGGCGACUCCCUGGCCUAGAACUGACGCUGAGGUGCGAAAGCGUGGGUAGCAAACGGGAUUAGAUACCCUUGUAGUCC
rnacentral:rRNA from 1 species